rnacentral:pre_miRNA from 1 species
GGCCUCCCUCUGUGGGGCGAUCAAUUGCAGAGCCCCUAUUGAUCACCCUGCAGAGGGAGGCC